ACAUUGAGAUCAGUGUGGUUGAUGAUGAAUCAGAGUCAUCGGUACAGCCAAUCCCUCUUGCCCUCCUGACAUCGCCAGUGUCAUUGUCAGACCAUCCAUCGUCCCCAGCUUCUACCAGUUCAUCAGAUUCAACUAUGAUCCUCAAAAGUACAAAGAACAGGAAGAAGGGCCUACAAGAGCUUGAUCGCGAUGAAGCGAAGCAGGUCAAAAGCAAAGCCUAAAGCAAUUUCCAGUGCUUAACAGCAUUUUACAAACACUAACUUUUUUGUAUAAUUUGUUUCAGUUUAAUCAGUAUGACUUUUUUUUUUAAACAGAAGGUGUGUAGUGUCUUGAGCUCAAACCCAAAGGGUGAAGAAAUUUUCAAUGAAUACGACAAAACUAAAACAUUGUCAGAUCCAACUCGUCGACAAAUGGUCAACAUACUGGUUGCAGAUAUGAUAGAAUCACACGGGUAAGUAUUCUUUGAUGAUCAUAAAAACAAUUGUCGAGUGAGCAGAAGAGCAAUACACUUUGUUUUGUUUUUGAAAGGAGGAUUCCGCCCAUAAGUGUUCGGACUAACUAUGCACUGGGGAUUGCAACGCUUUUUCCAUAUCUCCAAGAUCCUUACUCAAAAAAUGGCUAUGAACAUUACUAUGAUCCGGAGGCCAAUACUGGCUAUCUUGCUUGGAGACUCAAGACUGUCCAACGCAAUACCUAUGAUGGUGCUAGUGGGUGUCCCAGGCCAAACUUCCAGGACAGUCCAACAACCCGAAGAGAAUCUUUGUUUGUUAGUGGACAGCUUUUUGACAGAAGCUGGUACAUGACCCAGAUGCAACAUCAUCAAUCUUGGAUGUCUUCCCUCAUUUCCUUGAUACACCGGGGUUGAUUGAUCAGGAUUUUGCAAUGAUGCUUGGAGAUGAGGCCUCUGGAAGAUUUCUUACAAAGUGGUCUUCGUAUUUCAAGCAAAAAAUCAUCGCCGAAAGCCAAAGUCUUCCAUCAAGUCCUUGUGUUGAGGAGUUACGAGCAUCUUUUGAUACGGAGGCUUCAAAUGACUGGGGCUGGGAUAGUGACAUGGCAGCCCUUCUGUUGUUGCUGCAUCUCCUGCCCCCAACAUCAAAAGGCCACACAAAAACAGCAAAAAUUAGCUCUGCACAGGCAGCCAAUCAUCUUGUGAGAUUCGUCAAGAAAGGAGUCAGCCUCACUACUUUCCUGGAGAAAGCUAACACCAGGCAGCCCUUCCUUCUCUGCAUUGGUGAGCAAAAGAAGAACAUUCAGAGGUUCUUCAUCAUUGUGGACCAGAAAGCUAUCCCCUGUGAUGCUCCAACUUCAGCAGCUGCUUUUGAUGGGCUUUUCAAAGCACACUUUGUCUUCAGCCUCUCAUAUGAUGAAGCUCUUUCCAGUUUCUACACCUUCAUUCAAACCACAAUCUACAACAUUGAUGUUGGAAACACAAAAGAAAGCCCUCGAGUCAAGGAACUGAGAGCACGUCUGCUGCGAGACCGUUAAAUGCCCGCAAGGUCCACACGCUUUUAGGAGGAUUUAAAAAAAAAACUGUUUGACAAUGUUCAAAUGCUUUGUUUGUAAAAUGCACCAAAAAAAUUGUUCAGCUCUAUGUCAACAUUUAAAAUUUCAUCAUGGUUUAUAUCCAAACAAAAAUCUGCGUUUAAAAUGUGAAGAGCAGGGAUGUCUUUCAUCUUUUUGUACUUAAAUGGCUUUAGAAAACAUCUUCAUAAUGUACAUAGUCAUUAUCACGAUAAACAUGUAGGGACGGAACAGGAAGUUGCCCAACAAACACAUUCUCUAGGAGACUCUUUUUGUGAUCAACCAUCUACUUCUGCAUCUAUAUCACAGGUUCCCACUGUUAUUUCACAGGACUCGCUUGUUGGAAUGUGUGGAUCUGUUGUCGCUCACUUACAAGCUUCUGGUCUUACUGAAAGUGCUGUUCAAACAAUAAUUUGUUCUGUUGAGGAAGUUGUCAGGGAUGUUCAGAGUCAAGCAAGAGAAGUAGUACUCCAAACAUUUUCCCCUGAUAGUAAGGAAUCAGACAUUUACAAAAGAGUUGAGCACAAUUUAAACCAAUUGGAUAACCCCUUUUCAAAAUUUAACACUGAGAAAAAAAGACAGAAAUAUUAUGAUGAAAAAUGGGAAAUAGUUGAGCCUAAAGAAUUUGUACUUGGUGUAAGAUUGGAUACACGUAGACAUAGAACUACAGGGGUUUAUAGCGAAACACCUGUCAGAGACAAAUACAUGUAUGUGCCCAUUUUAGGUACGAUACAUUCAAUUUUCAAGAAUAAAGACAUUAGAGAAUGCUUCUUGCAUGAGAAACAAACACAAGCUGGGUUAUACAAAGACAUUAAUGAUGGAUUAUAUUUCCAAAACCAUCCUCUGUUUUCACAACAGAAAUAUGCUCUACAGAUUUUACUGUAUUAUGAUGAUUUUGAAACUGCUAACCCAUUAGGUUCGAAGAAAGGGAUCCACAAACUGGGCUGUAUUUAUUUCACUUUAAAAAAUCUCCCACCAAAGGUUAACUCUGUGCUGAUGAAUGUACAUCUAGCUGCUCUUUUCUACACAGAAGACUUAAAGAAAUAUGGUUUUGAAGAAAUACUAAAGCCUUUGAUUGAUGACUUGAAAAUUUUAGAAAUUAAAGGAAUCCUGCUUCCCUUUACUGAAGAGCCAGUGUUUGGUUCUGUUGUUCAAGUUACAGGAGACAAUCUUGCUUUAAAUGGCUUACUAGGUUUUGUUGAAUCGUUUAGUGCAACAAACUGGUGCAGGUUUUGUUUAGUAAACAAGGAAGAAAUUCAGUCUGUGUUUAAUGAAGACAGUUCAGACAUUGUUCUGCGCUCCAGAGAACUUCAUAUUGAACACUGUAAUGCAUUAAGUGAAGACCCUGCUCUCACUUCCGUUUACGGAGUUAAAAGAUCUUGUGUGCUCAAUUCAUUGGAAUAUUUUCACAGCACUGACAAUUAUGCAGUUGAUAUAAUGCACGAUUUAUUGGAAGGAGUUGUGCAGUAUGAGCUCAAACUUUUUUUUCAAUACAUGAUCAAAAAUGGCUACAUCUCCAGUAGCACAUUACUUGACAGGAUACAGACGUUUAAUUAUGGUUUUGUAGAGCGUAAAAAUAAACCAAGUGGGUUAAAAAUAGAUGAUAACAGCAAACACUUAGGUUUAAAUGCCAUUCAGUCAUUAUGUAUCCUACGCAAUACUCCACUAAUUUUUGGAGACAUAGUUGAGCGGGACAAUAGCCACUGGAAUUUUGUUCUCCUGUUGUUGCAAAUUGUUGAUAUUGUGUUGUCCCCAGUCCUUACUGAUGGCAUGAUAUGUUACUUGAAACAUCUGAUCUGUGAUCACCAUAACAUGUUUAAAAACUUAUUCCCUGGUAGAAAAUUAAUUCCUAAACACCACCUAAUGAUUCACUAUCCAAGGUGUAUUAAGAAAAUUGGCCCUCUUAUCCACAUAUGGUGUAUGCGUUUCGAAGCAAAACACAUUUUUUUUUUAAAAGAGCUGUCAAAAAUUUUAAAAACCUUACAAAAUCUCUAGUAAAGCAACAUCAGCGUCAAUUGGCCUUUUACUAUGAAAACUAUUGUUUUAAAAGAUUUCGGUUCGGUCCUUUAAAAUUAAAAAGAGUUGAUAGCAUGGAAGGUGGACAUUUGUUGUGCGAGUCAUUAAAUGUAGAUUCAUGUGCAAAUGUUUCAACUACAAAUUGGGUUAGAAAUUAUGGCACUGAAUACCAGGUUGGUUUGUUUUUAUGCACUGGAAUGUCCAGUGAUCUACCAGUCUUUAAGAAAAUUUGCUAUAUCAUAAUACAUGAACAACAUGCAGUCAUAAUAGGCUGUAGUGUCAACACCUUGUACUUUGAUGAACACUUUCAUGCAUACUGUAUUGAAGAAAAAAGUAAUGAGCAUGCUGUUAUUUCAAUUGACCAGCUCACCUAUGUUAGACCCUUUGACAAGCAAUAUUCUAAUGAAAAUGAGAACAUAUACAUUAUUCCAUAUUGUUACAUGUUUUAGAAAAUUUUUUGAAGUUGUGGUGCAUAUAAAAAUAAAUCUUUUUCAGAAGAACAUUGGCUCUUUUUAAUAUUUUUUUCCCCAAGGAAUUUCUAAAAGAUCAGAACAGUAAAAUUUACACUUUUUAGAAUUAAUUAGACGAUAACUCUUUUGUAGUCAAAAUAAAAUACUCUGUAACAGUUAAUAUAUAAACUCUUAACACCUAGUUAGUGUUAAUGAGUGUUAAAUUUUCAACUCCA
ensembl:lncRNA